GAGGCCACUGCUAUCGGAGUUCGAUUAAGCCAUGCGAGUCGAGAGGUGCAAGACCUCGGCAUACUGCUCAGUAACACGUGGACAACCUGCCCUUAGGACGGGGAUAAACCCGGGAAACUGGGUAUAAUACCCGAUAGGUCUCGAUUGCUGGAAUGCAUCGAGAUUUAAAGCUCCGGCGCCUAAGGAUGGGUCUGCGGCCUAUCAGGUAGUAGUGGGUGUAGCGUACCUACUAGCCUACGACGGGUACGGGUUGUGAGAGCAAGAGCCCGGAGAUGGAUUCUGAGACACGAAUCCAGGCCCUACGGGGUGCAGCAGGCGCGAAAACUUUACAAUGCUGGCAACAGCGAUAAGGGAACCUCGAGUGCCAGGUUACAAAUCUGGCUGUCGAGAUGCCUAAAAAGCAUUUCAUAGCAAGGGCCGGGCAAGACCGGUGCCAGCCGCCGCGGUAACACCGGCGGCUCGAGUGGUAACCGUUAUUAUUGGGUCUAAAGGGUCUGUAGCCGGCCGGAUAAGUCUCUUGAGAAAUCUGGCAGCUUAACUGUCAGGCUUUCAGGAGAUACUGUCUGGCUCGAGGCCGGGAGAGGUGAGAGGUACUUCAGGGGUAGGGGUGAAAUCUUGUAAUCCUUGAAGGACCACCAGUGGCGAAGGCGUCUCACCAGAACGGACCUGACGGCAAGGGACGAAAGCUAGGGGCACGAACCGGAUUAGAUACCCGGGUAGUCCUAGCCGUAAACGAUACUCGCUAGGUGUCGGCCACGGUGCGACCGUUGUCGGUGCCGUAGGGAAGCCGUGAAGCGAGCCACCUGGGAAGUACGGCCGCAAGGCUGAAACUUAAAGGAAUUGGCGGGGGAGCACCACAACGGGUGGAGCUUGCGGUUU
rnacentral:rRNA from 1 species